GGAUUUUUGUUUUAUUAAAUUCAAAGUACACCCAAUACAAGUCUAGCUAAUGACUUCUGCUCUGAUGUUCACCCUUGUUUGCCUUCCCUGCAAAGCAGAACCUCUGGCUACUGUUUCACUUUUAAACCUUAGAAAGAAGUUGCAUUGGGAGAAAAAGCAAAACAAAGCAGAAUACUAGGAUAAAGAACAAAACAAUAAGUAUCUUAAUAGCCACCAGCUGGCUUGCACUUACUUGUUUCUACUCCUCACCCCAACAAGGUUUUUCAUUGCCUUGAUAUUUAUCCUGUACCACAGCCACCUACUGCAAGUAUCAGUAGUCAUGAUAUUAACUUUCCCUUUGAAAUGUGUGCUAAGGCCUAUCUUAAUGGCAGAAAUAGAAAAAGCAACAUGCAAUAAACAUUUUCAAAUUGAAGAAAACAAAAAGGUUUAAAAAUAUCAUACUUUGAGAUAAGCGUGAGUUACAUAUUCAACGGAGUGUUACAUGCUUAUUAAUAUUUUUAUCAUAAAUCUUAUUUAUCACUAAAGUUGAUUUGUCACUCAAGCAGUUUGUGUACAUGAUAGGCAUUCAUAGUAUAAGCUGUAAGAAAGAUGACUGCUAUGUUCUUUUAAGGCAGUCCCAGGGAUUGUCAGUCUUUGUGUAAAUUCAUAGAAGGAAUGUUAUUUACCACUUAUUCCAGUGACUUCUGAUAAAAAAAAAUUUAAAUUAUAAUUCUUACAGACAUAUAACCUCAGUUUGUAGAGUGAGUAAAGCAAAUUGCCCUCUAUAAUGUAGGGGAACCUCAUCUUAUCAGUUGAAGAUCAGAAUAGAACAAAAAGGCUGAGCAAGAGGGGACUCCCUCUGACUGCCUGACUGAGCUGGCACUUUAAUCUUUUGCAGCCUUCAGACUUGGACUGAAACACUGGCACUUUUUGAAUCUGAAGUUGGCCAGCUUUCAGCUAGAACUCACACCAAUAGCUCUCCUGAUUUUCAGGCCUUUGGACUUGUAUUAAAACUACAUGUCAGUUCUCCUUGGUUUUGGACUAGAACUCCACAGCAGCACUCCCGUGAACUGCAGAUCUUGGGAUUUCUCAGCCUCCUUAUUCAUGUUACGUCAGAAAAAGGAGACCAAACGUUUGUUAGAAAAGCUGUUCUGCAUUUCUAACAAGCUCACAGGUGAUGUGGACUCUUUUGAACUAUUGUCCACACUUAACAAGGCUGUAGAGAACCUCUGAAGUAAUAUGUGGGAAUGAGUACAUACGUAUCAACUUUUUUAUAUUUCUGGGGGAUUGGAAUGUGUGGCUGGAUUUCUUAUGUGUUUUACCAUAAGUUAUGCUAGAAAUGCAGAAGGAGCUGUUAAUACCUCUGCAUUGGUUCAAGUUGUGCUUUUACAGAAUAUAAUGUCAAAGUGUAUUUUCCUUCUGAUCAAACAAGUAAAUUAAACACUUCCAGUUUUAGUUCCAUCAUGUAAACAGCGAGGAGGUUGUCACUUUCAUACUUGCGUUAGAAAAAAGCUAAAUGAAUGGAAAAUCAAUAUUUUAAAAUGUGUAUGCUUUUUGUGGUCUGUAUUUUUGGGUAUGUUUUCUGUGAAAUACUCCUUUUCCCUGAUAUAAAUAAAACUAAGAUUUCUUUUUAAAUUUCUAAUCCA
rnacentral:lncRNA from 13 species